CUCCCUGGAGAUGAUCUCUCUGUCCAUCGUCUUGUUGGCGGGGUACACAGGCCACCUACGUGACGACAGGUAGUGUGGACUGCAGAUGAUGGUCAGCCACACUGGGACUGCGACCUUGCCCAGACUCCUACGGGAGUGCUGCCUUCGACACUCAUCCGAAUUGUGCGAAAGCCUGACGGUGCGAUGCCUGGUGGGGGAUGAAGGCCUUCAUGUCGUAAAGCCCUGUCAGCAAGGACGACCCACGUGACGGUACCUUCAUGAUGGAAGCAGCAGGAUAACUUCGUGCCAUCUUCCGCGGAAACACGUAGGUGGUGAGCGUCAUUCGGAUUUACUGUGCGUAAGGGGUCCGCAUGGGGUUUGCCAAGUCCGGUGUGAGGGUCCAGUGGCUCGGCCCUGGAGCUGCGCCUGAUACUGGUGAACUGGAGUGCGCGAAGGGCAUGCGGCAUUCCUGGUGUAGCGGUGGAAUGCGUGGAUAUCAGGCAAGAACGACCGACGGCGAUGGCAGCCUGCUGGCGCGCCACUGACCCUCAUGGGCGAAAGCGUGGG
rnacentral:rRNA from 1 species